rnacentral:rRNA from 1 species
AACGAACGCUGGCGGCAUGCCUAACACAUGCAAGUCGAACGAGAUCUUCGGGUCUAGUGGCGCACGGGUGCGUAACGCGUGGGAAUCUGCCCUUUGGUUCGGAAUAACAGUUGGAAACGACUGCUAAUACCGGAUGAUGACGAAAGUCCAAAGAUUUAUCGCCAGAGGAUGAGCCCGCGUAGGAUUAGCUAGUUGGUGUGGUAAAGGCGCACCAAGGCGACGAUCCUUAGCUGGUCUGAGAGGAUGAUCAGCCACACUGGGACUGAGACACGGCCCAGACUCUUACGGGAGGCAGCAGUGGAGAAUAUUGGACAAUGGGCGAAAGCCUGAUCCAGCAAUGCCGCGUGAGUGAUGAAGGCCUUAGGGUUGUAAAGCUCUUUUACCCGGGAUGGUAAUGACAGUACCGGGAGAAUAAGCUCCGGCUAACUCCGUGCCAGCCGCCGCCGUAA